AGGAAUACUAGCAGAUAAAGCAAAUAUAACACACAUAGAUAUCAGUGACUGGAUAUCUAAAUAUGAAGAGUGGGAUGAGGAGGAGAUAUUGACUGGAAAUGUUUGGUUUGGCCAUAUUCCCCCUGACCUAGAGAACUUGCGCAAGAAGAGAUACUGGCUCUGGCGUAGACUGGUAGAACAUGAAUUUAUGGAAAACUGGGAAUCCGUUUCAGAAAUAGACACCUCGUAUUUAUAGUUGUACAAUGGUGUACAAUUAUGGACAAUGUUGUACUCAAUAUUGUACAUAAUUGUACUAUAUUGUUUAGAGUUGUAGAAUAUGGUACAAUAUUGUACACUACUGUAAAAUAUUGUACUUUAUUAUUUAGGGUUGUACAAUAUAGUACAAUGUUGUACAAUAUUGUACUUUAUUGUUUAGAGUCGUACAAUAUGAUACUGAUUCAAUGUUGUACAAUGAUGUAUAAUGCUGAAAAAAGUGAACAAUGUUCCACAAUGCUGUACAAUGUUGUACAACAUUGUACAAUAUGUACAAUAUUUAAAGAUGUUGUACAAACCACAUUUACAAAUACGGGUGUAUACAAUACAUAGAAAACUAGGACAUUUAACUUGCCAGUGCUCAGUGCUAUAUGUCUAUAACUGAACAUGAUAAUUUAUUUUUAAAAGCUUAAACCCGAGUAAAAACCUGGCUUUAUUGUCUGUUUACCCCAAGUGAAGACUGAAUACUCGAGUUUUAGUUAAUCUUAUUUUAAAUCUCUACUUGGACUUAAAGCCGCAGAUUGUGAAUUUCUUAAAAGCUUUUUAUAUUAAAAAUCAUAAUUGUCUAGAUUUUAAAAAUAAUUUAUCUAUAUGAAGUUUGAAUUUUCGAAAUUUACAUUUGGUAAAUCUACCUUUUUACAGACAGCAAUCGCUCAUUGGUGGAUUCAGAACCAAUCAGAAACCAUCAAAUGUAGCUUUAUACUUGACUUUAAGGUCUUGAUGUUUCAGAAGGUCGAGCCUUACUUUUAAAAUCUCAGCUCAGUUAUGAAGCAACAUUUAAUAUGCCUUGCUAUUGCUUUCAUUUUCUGAGUAUUUAUUAAAAUUAUAAAACAAAAUGCAACCUGUAGGGACCCUUCUUUUAAAAAAUAAAAGAUGAAUUUUAAAAUUAUUGAAGAUGACAUAUAAAAGUUUUACAAAUUAUCAUGUUUGGUGGAAUUCACUGCAGCACUUGCUCAUUUUUUAUCUCUUUAUUUUUCCCAGUCACGUAGAUUUAGACGAAUAGACUUUAAGACGGGGUCGACUUCAAGGUGUCGCUACGCCAAGACCUUUGAUUUUACCUUACUAACUCAUUUAUACUUUUUUGUAUCCCUGGACAAUUAAAUUUUAAAACGUUAAA